rnacentral:rRNA from 1 species
GUAGGUGGCAAGCGUUGUCCGGAAUUAUUGGGCGUAAAGCGCGCGCAGGCGGUUCUUUAAGUCUGAUGUGAAAGCCCACGGCUCAACCGUGGAGGGUCAUUGGAAACUGGAGAACUUGAGUACAGAAGAGGAAAGCGGAAUUCCACGUGUAGCGGUGAAAUGCGUAGAGAUGUGGAGGAACACCAGUGGCGAAGGCGGCUUUCUGGUCUGUAACUGACGCUGAGGCGCGAAAGGCGUGGGGAGCAAACAGGAUUAGAUACCCUGGUAGUCCACGCCGUAAACGAUGAGUGCUAAGUGUUAGGGGGUUUCCGCCCCCCUUAGUGCUGCAGCUAACGCAUUAAGCACUCCGCCUGGGAGUACGGCCGCAAGGCUG